rnacentral:rRNA from 1 species
GACGAACGCUGGCGGCGUGCCUAAUACAUGCAAGUAGAACGCUGAAGGAGGAGCUUGCUUCUCUGGAUGAGUUGCGAACGGGUGAGUAACGCGUAGGUAACCUGCCUGGUAGCGGGGGAUAACUAUUGGAAACGAUAGCUAAUACCGCAUAAUAUUGACUAUUGCAUGAUAGUCAGUUGAAAGGUGCAACUGCACCACUACCAGAUGGACCUGCGUUGUAUUAGCUAGUUGGUGGGGUAACGGCUCACCAAGGCGACGAUACAUAGCCGACCUGAGAGGGUGAUCGGCCAAACUGGGACUGGGACACGGCCCAGACUCCUACGGGAGGCAGCAGUAGGGAAUCUUCGGAAAUGGACGGAAGUCUGACCGAGCAACGCCGCGUGAGUGAAGAAGGUUUUCGGAUCGUAAAGCUCUGUUGUAAGAGAAGAACGAGUGUGAGAGUGGAAAGCUCACACUGUGACGGUAUCUUACCAGAAAGGGACGGCUAACUACGUG